CUCUUGGCCACAUCUGCGUAGGCUUGCUCAAUUUCUUUGUCUGCUGCACAGGUGUUGGUGAACUCAUCCCUGGUGUACGCGUUCUUCAGGAGACAAGAACCAGUGAGGGGCCACACAUUCAUUUUGCAUUGUCUGACUCCAAUGUCGCCAAUGAAGACAAGCCAGAAUAAGCACUAAACCUGUGAGGAUAUUAUCACAUUUCUUACCUGGUGACUUAUGUGCUUUUUAAUUUUUUUUUUUUUUUCUUUUUGCAUGUGUGCAGUCAGCUCCCAGGCUCAGUUUAUGUUUUGGCUCACAGAGCCAAAUUAGAUGCAUGACUUGGCUUUAAUUCCUAGCUCAUUCACUUGCCAAGGUCUGCCAGGUACUUGCGUUAUUCUAAAGCAACAUGUCAUCUGAUAAAUUAAAUAAAUGCAACAUUUAGAAGUCAAGAUGAUGUACAUGAUUUGCACUAUACCAGCAACCAUUGUACAUCUUAAAUCCUGGACCUUGGCAAUGACUUUGAUUUGUUAACUUCUCUGUGUGAAAUACCAGAUGGAAUAAAUAUUCCCCAAAGAAA